GUCGGCAGAGGGUGGUUCAAUACAACAAUUUCUUCGCCUUUUACUAAGGAAUUCCGUGGACCACCCUCACUGCAAUGCCGCAUACCAAUUUCUCGCCACCUCAGGUUGCCUGAGCUU
rnacentral:snRNA from 1 species